rnacentral:rRNA from 1 species
ACAAUGCGGGACUAUACGUCUUGCAAUUGGAUUGAGAACAAUGUACAACUCUUAUCGAUAAGCCAUUGGAGGGCAAGUCUGGUGCCAGCAGCCGCGGUAAUUCCAGCUCCAAUAGCGUAUAUUAACGUUGUUGCAGUUAAAAAGCUCGUAGUUGAAGUGUGGGUGAUCGCUGUUGUGAGACUUCGGUCUCUCGACAGUAAGUCACCCCCUUCCAGUAUCCAGUAGUGGGUAUUCAGUUACUUACUAUUGUGUGUUGGUCAUUUACUGUGAGAAAAUUAGAGUGUUCAAAGCAGGCGUUUGCUUGAAUAGAUUAGCAUGGAAUAAUAAUUGAAGGCUUUCGUGUUCGAUUUGAUUGGUUUGUUCAUGGAAGCAAGGUUAAAAGGAACAGUUGGGGGUAUUCAUAUUCACUAGUUAGAGGUGAAAUUCUCGGAUUUAUGGAA